CCCUUAGAUGUUCUGGGCCGCACGCGCGCUACACUGAUGCAUUCAACGAGUCUAAAACCUGGUCUGAUAGGGCUGGGUAAUCUUUUGAAAGUGCAUCGUGAUUGGGAUAGAUGAUUGCAAUUCUUCAUCUUCAACGAGGAAUGCCUAGUAAACGCAAGUCAUCAGCUUGCAUUGAUUACGUCCCUGCCCUUUGUACACACCGCCCGUCGCUCCUACCGAUUGAAUGGUCCGGUGAAGCGUUCGGACCGUGGCCUUUGGACGGUUCGCCGUCUGUUGGCUGCGGGAAGUUCGUUAAACCUUAUCAUUUAGAGGAAGGAGAAGUCGUAACA
rnacentral:rRNA from 1 species